rnacentral:rRNA from 1 species
UACGGGGGGGGCAAGCGUUGUUCGGAAUUACUGGGCGUAAAGGGCUUGUAGGCGGCCAACUAAGUCCGACGUGAAAUCCCCAGGCUUAACCUGGGAACUGCGUCGGAUACUGGAUGGCUUGAAUUCGGGAGAGGGAUGCAGAAUUCCAGGUGUAGCGGUGAAAUGCGUAGAUAUCAGGAGGAACACCAGCGGCGAAGGCGGCGCUCUGGGCCGGUACUGACGCUGAGGAGCGAAAGCGUGGGUAGCAAACAGG